AUGGCAUCUAAUGUGUGCCAGGCAUGGACUAGCUUCUUUAUGUUUAUUUUCAUAUUUAAUCCUUAAAGAAUUCUGAUUUUAAAAUGAGAAAAAUGAGACUCUAAGAAAUUAAUUUGCCCCAGGUCACACCACUAGGAAACUGCAGAACCUUCAUCUUACUUAUUUCACUUCUCUUGCUUUGCUAAAUGCCACAAGUGUAGAGAUAAGGGAGUUCACAGGCAGGGUAUCUAGCUUAGAGGUCUUUAUGGGAGUAUUCACAGAGGAGCGCAGAGGCUGAAGGAUGGAUGAGAUGUCAUAUCAGGAAAUGGGGUUAGGAAAAGAGGGAAGGAGGAAUUCCAUUUUUAUAGGGUGUUGCAUGCAGCAAUCCACACUUAUCUAAAAAAAAAAUUUCAAAUGGUGAAAUUCUGGAUGCUGUAGAAAGUUGAAAGGGAAAAAUAUUCAGGGGUAAGGGGCAUUCAAGGAUUUCCCCAGUCCACACUGUCAUACCAUUCCUAAGCCAGCCCUAAGAAGACUGGCUGUGAAGGCCUCUCAGGGAUACGCCGUCCUCAGAAUGGACACAUGUGUGGUCAUCACUGCCUGAGCUGUGGGACUGUCCAGCUCUACCCCAGACUCGGAUGUCAGCCCAAAGAUAUUAAGCUGGGAAGUUGAUCAAGGGCAGUGUUGAGGAUAUUAGCAACCCAUCCAGCGGCCCAGAGCAAUUUAUGAGAAUUCUAAUUAGAUACAAGGACUUCUGUGACCACACAAACACUUUCUAUUCUGCCUGCCAGCACGGGGUCCCCUGCCGUCAAAAGCUAUCUUGUAUGCUUCAGUGGAAGAUACAAGGCCAACAAAAAAAGGACUCAGGAUGCCAACACUGACCCACUCAGAGGGAGAAAAGAGACAUUCAGAAUUGGUCAUGGCUUUCCGGGAAGAUCAUCUGGAGACACCCCCUGGACCAAUGGCAUUUUCUCUCCCAAGUCUUAUGCCUCCCGAUGGCCUCAAGAGAUGAAGCUGAAUAGAGACAUUUCCCAAACCCAAGUCUGACCAGGAAGGCAAUGAGCCAGAACAGAAAAUAUCGAUGAGAACCUAGAUGUUCUAUCAAACCAAACCCUUGCCAGGAAGAGGAACACAUUAGCACUUGAGAUGAGGACACUGAGGCCCAGAGAUCUCCGCCCAAUUUUUCCAGACCGGUCUGUCACUCACCAAAGCAGUGUGCCUUCAGGACACCAUUGCCGGGCUCCCCCAGUGCAAGGCCUCAGCUGGGAUGCAGGGUCAGAGAACUGGCUCUGCAUACUUUGUGGAAAGUUGGGAAAGUCUAAAUAUUUCUCUAAGCCUUGAUUUCCCCAUCUGACAGGAAGGAAAACAUAAUCUGUCUCCUAUGUUUAUGCACUGGUUGAAUGAAGUCCCAGCCAUGAAUUUGUUUGGUGAAUUGCAAAGCACUAUGCGAUGCUGUAUUUUCUUCACCACAACUCAUGCUCUGACAUAGGAACAGUAUUGGUUCUUUCUGGAAUGCUACUCUUUAUAGAGCUUCUUAGAUUGUACUUUUCAAGGGUUGAGGUCAGACCUAACCAUUCUGCUGCAGAUUUCACGAAGCAUAGCGUUUUUAUAAUAUUAGAAAGAUGGCUCAAAAAGGUUUUCUUUGUUCAGACUUUUCUUGAACAUUUACUAUGUGCUGGACACUGCACUCUUUGCCGGAAUAUCUCAUUUAAUCUUUACAGUGCAUUUCCAAGUGAAGGCAGCACAAUUAGUAUAAUUUUAUAAAAGUGGAAUACUGGAGUCUAAGAUGUUAAUAACUUGUCCAAGGUCCCAACACUGGAUGUCACUGGAGUGGGAAUUCGAAUCCAGGAUGCUUAUCCUUUAAGCACCCCAUCAUACUGUUAGUAGUGACGACAUCACGGAACUUGUCACACAGGAGGACUGAAAGACAGGGACUCUCAGGGGCCAGAAAACAUGAGAGUGAAAGAGAGAUUCCGAAAAACAUCGAGAUUUGUGAAAAUGCUAUUAUGUGUUAGAUAGAAUGCAGGGUACUUUCCAUAAGUCAACUUGGUUAUUUCUCAGAGGAAUUCCAGGAAAUAGGAUUUUACACAUGUGGGAAACAGGCUGAGAGAGGUUAUUUAAUUUGCCAAAGGUCACACAGCUGGUAUUAGAGACAGAAUAUUAAAGUAGGCGUUUCUUACCCCAAAAUCCACUCUCUGCACCAAGAGGCCACUCAGAAAAUAUAAAAAUAAGCAAAUCAAAUAAAUUGACUACGUAAGUUUGAAGGCUUCAAGAAAAUAUAAAUACUUCCACCCAGAAAUUCUAUGUCCUGGUUUCAUUCCUAGAAAACCACUUGUAGAGGUACACAGAGGACUCCCCAACGAUCCUUAACACAGCCAUAUGACUGAUAGCCCUCAUCCCACCCCCCCAAAAAAAGUCUAGUGAGAAGAAAAUGCUUAAAAAUAUUCUGAUGCAUGCAUAUCAUGGAGUUCUUUCCAGCAGUCAAAGAGAAUGAAGGCAAAAAAUGGAAAGCUCUCCAAAACAUAUCGUUCACUGAAAACCAAACUGUGACAUACUGCAUAGAGUUUGAUAGCAUUCCACAGAAUAAAAUUUUAUUCUGUGUGGACAUAUAUUAAUAUAUACAAAUGCAGACCGGGCACGGUGGCUCACUCCUGUAAUCCCAGCACUUUGGGAGGCCGAAGUGGGUGGAUUACUGAAGGUUAGGAGUUUGAGAUCAGCCUGGGCAACAUGGUGAAACCCCAUCUCUAUUAAAAAUACAAAAAUCAGCUGGGCGUCAUGGCGCACCCCUGUAGUAGCCUGUAAACCCAGCUACUCUGGUGGCUGAGGCAGGAGAAUCACUUGAACCUGGGAGGCAGAGGUUGCAGUGAGCCAAGAUCGUACCACUGCACUCCAGCCUGGGCAACAGAGCAAGACUCUGUCUCAGAAAAACAAAAACAUAUGCAAAUGCAUAUAAUAAAAGUCUUGGAGAAAUGGAACGUACAUCAAACAGACAACAGAUUGGCAUUGAGAUGCCAAGCCAAAGGAAUGCUUAUCUGUAUUUUCAUUUUUUUUUUUUUACAAUGAGGAUACAUUUUUUAAUGAGAAGCAAUAUAGCAUAAUGGUUAAGGGCAUAGCUCCUAGAGCCAGUUCAAAUCCCAGCUCUGAAGCUUACCAGCACUGUGCCUGCGUCAUGACUUAAGCUGUCUGUAUAGUGGAGAUGCUGGGCAUGCCAACCUCCCAGAGAAGCUGUGAAGAUUAAACUAAGAGUUACAGGUAAUACACUCAUAAAAGCUGCUGGGGCCGGGUGUGGUGGCUCAUGCCAGUAAUCCCAACACUUUGGGAGGCUGAGGAGGGUGGAUCCCCUGAGGUCGGGAGUUCGAGACCAGUCUGGCCAAGAUGGUGAAGCCCCAUCUCUACUAAAAGUACAAAAAUUAGCUGGGCAUGGUGGCACACACCUGUAAUCCCAGCUACUCUGGAGGCUGAGGCAGGAGAAUCACUUGAUCCUAGGAGGUAGAGGUUGCAGUGGGCCGAGAUCGCGCCGUUGCACUCCAGCCUGGGUGAAUGAGCCAGACUCUGUCUCAAAAAGAAAAACUUCCUGGCAUGGAGUGAGGGCUACCUAAACAACUGAGACCAGGAGGCAGGGGAUAGGGAAGGUAUGGGAAAUUGGCCAGCACAAUUACCACCUGAUGGUGGGAGUUCACACGCAAGAAUCCACUUUGCAUACCUGUGUGCUGUGCAUUCCUGUGGAAUACACCACCACUCCCCACAGCACACCCAGAUAAAGUACUGGGCAGCAUGGCCUCUUCCCCUGGUCCCCAAGACACCUGAGGACAGCCUCCACUGGCAGCACUGAUGUCGGAUACCUAUCAGGAGGUGAUGUUGGGAAAACCACACUACAGCCUAGGUGAGUAUACCUCCAAAUUCAUGUACACCUGGGACAUCAGAGUAUGCCCUUAUUUGAAAAUCAUGUCUUUGCAGAUAUAAUUGUUUAAGGAUCUUGAGAUAAAGUCAUCCUGGAUUUAGGGUGGGUCCUAACUCCAACGGCUGGAGUCCUUAGAAGAAGAGGAGACAUACCAAGGGAAGAAGGUCACCUGGAGAUGGAGGCAGAGAUUGGAGAGAUGCAGCCACAAGCCAAGAAACACCUGGAGGCACCAGAAACUGGAGGACGCAAAGAAUGGCCCUCGCUUAGAGCCUUCAGAGGGAGCAAGGCCCUGCUAACACCUUGAUUUUGGACUCUGGCCCCCAGAACUGAGAAUAAAAUUCUGUUGUUGCAACCCA